GAUGAAGAACGUAGCGAGAUGCGAUAAGUAAUGUGAAUUGCAGAAUUCAGUGAAUCAUCGAGUUUUUGAACGCAUAUUGCGCCCUCUGGUAUUCCGGGGGGCAUGCCUGUUCGAGCGUCAUUAAAUAACCCUCAAGCAUAGCUUGGUGUUGGGCUUUUUUACGUCCUUGACUGGGAUGGGCCUAAAAAUUAGUGGCGAUGGCUUUUUUACUUUCAAGCGUAGUAAAUCUCGUCUUGCUAAAGAGGAAAAAGAUUUUUUUUCUGCCAAAAAUUUUAACAUUUAAAGUUGACCUCGGAUCAGGUAGGAUUACCCGCUGAACUUAAGCAUAUCAAUAAGCGGAGGA
rnacentral:misc_RNA from 1 species